ensembl:lncRNA
UGAGGACCCGGCCUUCGCAGUCUACAUGGGUCGGGUCCUCCGAAGACCAAGAAGGCUGGUAGUGAGCGGCUGUGAAAUUGGACGGUCCAGCCUUCAGAUCUGCAUCACCGCUGUCUCGGUGGAGUUUAAUAAACUCAGCCGUCUGCUCCUUGCUGUCUAAAAUAUAACAGGACACUGGAGUAAACUCGACCGUCUCACACUUCUGUUUAAUCAGUUUUCUGUUUGACGUUUAUUCAGCUGUGUGAAAAUUAUAACUUUAAUCUCAGCCAAACCGAUUUACUCAGGAACAAAUAAAACACUGAAAAAAAGCCAAACAAUAACAUUGACUUAUAUAUCACAUUUAACCUGAAUAGUGAAAGACCGCGGGGGGUUAGAAAACGAUGAGCCGGGAGUUAUCGCCCCGGCUAGCUAUCGAGCUGGUGGGUAACAGACGUCUCCGAAAACGUCGGAGCACUUUUGCAAAUAUGUGAUGUCUUUAUUUUGUGACCGAGAAAGAUUAAUAAGAGUAAUAUUAAAACUUAGUAGCGGCCGCCAUUGUUGGAAACUGGAGUUUGGCUGGGCUGCGCUAUGAAUUCUGGGAUAUGGUGGGCCACGAAGGACACACCUGACCCAUCCUUCAAAUCUGGGGAAAAGGAGGACGCAUUUGUCGGCUGCAUUUGGAGGAGUCCAUGAAUUUGGACAGCCUUUGUCACGUCGCUGUGACGUAAUCAGCCUACAAAUGCAGCCUCAGGGGGAUGCAGCCUAUGAAUUUGGACACCCCCCAUUACUGACCUUGGGGAUCAGUUUAUUGAGUCUGUCAACCUGCUGCUCCAGCAUGCAACAGCAGAGAGGACCUCAGAGACCCUGGCUCUUCCUGUAGAGUGGAGUAGUGUUUUUAACCCAGUCCAGUUUAUUGUCUAUAUAUACUCUGAGGUAUUUAUAGUCCUCCACAACGUCCACAUCGACCCCCUGGAUUAAAACAGGGGUCAAGGGUUUUCCUGGUCUUCCUAAAGUCCACAAUCAUUUCGUUGGUCUUUGUAAGUAAGCACAGGAUUGUAACCAUGUUGCUGAUGUCCUCAUGGAUGUUUGUUGUUUAAUCCCUGAUAGCGGGUCUCACACUCAGUAGUCCUCGGCCUCCAUCCUUCCACUCAGCGUUUCAGGGGAUCCAGAUUUGGGGAGAAAUUUCCCCUUGUGGGACUAAUAAAGAUAUAUCAAAUCAAAUCAAAUCAAACCAUCCACACCAGGAGCUUUCUUUUCUUGGUGUCACUGGCUUCUGUUGGUGGCCCGGAUCUUGUUCUUCCCAUUCAGCUGACUCCUCAGGACCUGCCUUACUCUCUGCAGGUAUUUGGUAGUUGCAACUUUGAUAGCAGCCUCUUCAUGGUUUGCCUGUGGGAUUCCAAGGUUGUGUCAUCAAUGUCUGCACUGCUGCCCUCCGGUAGUGCAGUUUCCUCAGUUUUGACUUCCUUCUCUCUCUUUGUGACCAUCUGACUACACUUCCACAGUGCGACUAACAUUUGCAGCUGUAUAUCCUACAUUUGUCAGAUGUGGACAAAUUUCUGAUAAACUUCUCCAAAGGAAUGUUGUCUGAGGUGGUGCUUAACAUGUUUAACUGACUGAGAAGCUGGAAAUGAUUAAAAAAGGUUUCGCAAAGACUUUCAUGCUCAGUAUUGAUGGUAAUCACAUUUAUAUGACAGUGAUAUAGUAUUUACAUUAGCUUAUAUUUAUGUUUAUUUGCCAUGUCUCAAUACAAAUAGUAGUUUAGGCAGAGCAGCAUUUCCCAUUUUCCAUAUACUCCACCACUGUCACCUGGACCCACACCACCAUCGCCCUGGUAAAGAAGGCCCAGUAGCGGCUGCACCUCCUCCGUGUCCUGAGGAAGAAGAACCUGGACACGGAGCUGCUGCUGACCUUCUACCCUCCUCAGUGGAGAGCGUGCUCUCCUCCUGCCUGCUGUUGCUACUCUGGGUCCACGACUGAGAGCAGGAAGGCUGCACAGAGGGUCAUUAACACCACCCAAAACAUCAGUGGCUGCUCUCUGCCACCCCUGGAAGCCAUCUCCAGAUUCUCCUGUCUCAGUUUCACCCUUUUGAAUGUCAGUAAACCUGUUGACAACACUCAUCGGUCUUCAGAGUGGUGAUAUAAGAAAGGUUCUAACGCCCCUGCAUAAGACAUGCACCCAUAACGGCACAGCCUCUGUUCAGUUUCCUGUAAAUCACGUGGGAAUAAUGUGAGUUAACACCACGGACUGGAGGCCCUCCCCCAGUCCUCCCUUUGCUCUCUGCAGCCUGCUGUACAUGAGCACCGGCAGAAGAACCCAGCACAUGAAGAAGAUUUGACUCUCUGCAAGGAUUGAAGUCUUUGAGCUCAGGGUUGAGACUCCUAGCUUGAACCAUGGGGAACCUCCCUACGAUACAUAAUGAAACCCCCUACACAUUUCACUACUGUAUUAUUGGGAGAGAGGGUGUGCAUACAGUGCAUGGCAACAGCACAGGAGAGUCCCUGCAAGCACCAUUUUGGAUUGCAUUACCAUUUCGGGGUGCAUUACUACCAUUUUGGGGGCUCUCCUUUAGAUAUGGAGAUCACUCAGAAAGUGACCUCACUGGUGCAGGUGAUGGCGCUUCGUACACCAUAAGAGAGAGUAAAGAUCACAAGGAAUUUGAACUGGUCUCCAAGAUGUGGCAUAGAGUUGUUGUUGUUGACCGUUGUCCCAACUUUGGCAGAAUUGAUGAAGAGAAACGGCAACAAGAGGAGCGACGCAGGAAAGAAGAAGACGAGAAAAGGCGUCAGGCAGAGCUUGAGCAACAGAGGAAGAUCCAAGAGCAGAUGGAAAAGGAGAACGAAACAUUGAGAAAAAAGCACAAUGAAGCACACAACAGGCUUCAGGAGGAGGAAGACCUCAAAACCUGGAAGCACCGUCAGCAGCACUCUCAAGUUCUACACCAGCUCUUGGAAGAUAAAGCACAUCACAUAGAGAGAGAUGAGGUCACUGAUGUGAAUGAGAAGUUUGAAAAACUUCUAUCAAAGUAUGACAUCAGAGAGGAUGAACAUUUACAGAUCCAGCUGGAAGACAGGAUGAAGACUCUCCAAAAUAAGCUGACAUUACAAUAUUUUCAUGAGCACCCCCACUUCAUCCCCACUUCGUUACUGUGGGCUUUGGAUCAGACUACUGGAUAUGUGCUGCUGUCUCUGACUGAGAGGUUCAACAUCCUGGAGGCAGUGCUGAAGGUGACCUUAGAGGGUGACCCUGAUGUUGAAGAUCUCCAAAAUGGACAAGACAAGAAGACAGAGUUCCUCCUCAGUUUGCAGGAACAGCUACAUGCUGAAAAUCCAACACUGGCCCAACAGGUGUUAGCAAAUGUUCUGGAUCUGUCCUCAAAACUACCCCGAUCAGGUAAGGAGAUCAUCAGUCAAAUAGUGUUCAAUAAUAUCUGGGCACCAAAAGACAUCAAGCUUUUCCUUGGCAAGACCUUAAGCAUGGAUCAGAAAACAGUCACAAAAAUCCUCCACAAAGCGUGCACGUACGGGCUGAGCUGUGGCGACGCUCUCUCUGCCCUGAAUGAAGACGAUCCUGCAGAGUACAUCCAACAUUGUGUGGACAAAGCUGAGCGAGACAAAGAUGCUUACACACUUUUGGCUGAAAUGGAAAACAAAAACUUUCCAGAGUAUGUCCUGUCACUCCUGCGAGAAGUCCUGACAUAUAUUGAAGAAGAGCUACCCAAAUAUGGACGUGUGCCCAUUAACAGGGAGAUGAUUGAAGACUGUAAAAAGAUAAUAACUGCUCUUGAUUUUAACAGUCCUAAGAUUGAUGAUCUGAAGAAAGUCCUGAUCAUCGUAUCCAGAGCUGUAAAGGAAUGCACCACCUUUACCACUCAGAGCGGUGAACAUGUUCAGGGCUACUUCCCAAGACUCAGUCAGCUGGCAUCACUGCUGCUGCUCCUGCUGCCACAUUCUGGGGAUAAGAAAGGUUGUCUGUUGGAAAUCAGCACUGGAGAGGGCAAAACUUGUAUUUUAGCCAUGUUUGCUACAAUACAGGCCACCCGAGGCAUAAAGGUGGACAUUGUGACAAGCUCUCCUUUGUUAGCAAGUCGUGAUCAGGAUAAGUGGAGAAAAUUAUAUGAUGUGUUUGGUAUUACAUCAUCCACGGUCCCUCCAACACACAUCAAUAGCUGCUCUUUUAAAGAUCAUGACAAGCUGCUUGAGGAUGCAUACAGCCAGCAGGUCGUUUAUGGUACAGUUGGUACGUUUGCAGCAGAUACACUGAGGCAAGAGUUUGAGAAGAAGACUACCCGAGGUCCGAGGAAGUUUGAGUGUGUGGUAGCAGAUGAGGUGGACUACAUGACGUUGGACAGUGGUGUCCAGGUCACGUUCCUGUCACACCAAGCCAGUAGCCUAAGGCACAUGGAGCAAGUCCUGGCAAGCAUCUGGGCCAUGAUGUCGUCCUGCAAGCCAAUAGAAAUGUUUGAAACGGGGGAGAUCAGGUGGGGAACCAGGAUCCAGCACUUCCACAAGGCUGUAAUGCAAGCAGUGGUUGGCUCAGAAUCAGAAGAUGUUUCAGCUGCUGACAUACUUGUUCUUGGUGCCCAGCUGGGGUUUUAUUCACAGGAGGAUGUGGAUGAAGUAAAUAACGCAGAUGGUCAGACACAAACAGAGACUGACAGCUUUAAGGAUGCCAGGUGGAAAGCUACUGAGAAAAUCAUGGCCAACAUUGGACCAAAAGAACAGUGUGAGCUACUGAGACAAGUUCAGACAAAAAUAGAAAACGGUGUAUCUGUAAAUUGUUACUCACUAAUGAACAACAAAGCCAAACUUUACAGCAAGGACAGCUCUCAUGGAGACCUUGAUGUCAGCCUGCUUCUCCUGGAGAAUGGCUGUACCUGUGAAAUCAUGUCCGAGGAAUCCAUCAUCCAAGGAGCUGUGGACAAAUUAAAAUCAACAAUUAAAUAUUCUGAUGAGUGUUCAGUGAAGUCAUUGGAUGAGUGUAAGGGAUUUAUUGUGAUCCCUCUUUUUGAAAACAUACAUUGAGAAUCAGUUACCAG